rnacentral:rRNA from 1 species
GACGAACGCUGGCGGCGUGCUUAACACAUGCAAGUCGAACGGAAAGGCCCUGCUUUUGUGGGGUGCUCGAGUGGCGAACGGGUGAGUAACACGUGAGUAACCUGCCCUUGACUUUGGGAUAACUUCAGGAAACUGGGGCUAAUACCGGAUAGGAGCUCCUGCUGCAUGGUGGGGGUUGGAAAGUUUCGGCGGUUGGGGAUGGACUCGCGGCUGAUCAGCUUGUUGGUGGGGUAGUGGCUUACCAAGGCUGUGACGGGUAGCCGGCCUGAGAGGGUGACCGGCCACAUUGGGACUGAGAUACGGACCAGACUCCUACGGGAGGCAGCAGUGGGGAAUAUUGCACAAUGGGCGGAAGCCUGAUGCAGCAACGCCGCGUGCGGGAUGACGGCCUUCGGGUUGUAAACCGCUUCCGCCUGUGACGAAGCGUGAGUGACGGUAAUGGGUAAAGAAGCACCGGCUAACUACGUG